UUGUCACUUCAAGCAAAAAUUACCAAAGGCACCAGCAUCAGAGCUGCUCGACUCUGGAAGGCUAAGAGCAGUGGUUCUCAUACUCUGUGCCCGUGGAAUACUCGGGUUCUGUGAGCCACCACAGCAAGAGUGAGAGGUUGAGGGGUUGAUGCUGUGGAAGACGGACGAGAAGGCACUGCUCGAGAAGCGUGGGGAGGACAGGGGAAAGCUCAUGCUCACGGGCCGCUCUGUAACCAAGACAAGCCAUAGAGGAAUGGAGGGCUGCUUUUGUUCGGAGCCUCCCCAGAAAAGUGGUUUCAGGUACCAACCACGGGCCGGCGAGAAGCCACGUGGGCCACCUGGAAGAACGGAGAUGGUGUCCCCAGGUUACCUCUCAUCAUGCCUGGGACAUCCCCGCCCCUCUUCUUCAGCUCCCCAUAGCAGCCAUCACAGACCUUGGCCAUCCGGUCCUUGAGGUGACUGCAUCAAAGAACAAGGUAGCACUGUGGAGUACUACGUAGCAACCAAAAGGAACUAAUGGUACACACGACAGCAUGGAUGAAUUUCGAAGACAUGCCAAGUGAAAGAAGCCAGACACAGAGGAGGAUACACUGCUUUAUAACAUUUAUAUGAAGUGCCAGAUCAGGCAAAGCUAACCUGUAGUGAUGGAAAUUAGGCCAGUGGUUGCCCAAACAGGGGGUGGAGGAAGUGAGUGCUAAGAGGCACAGGGGAACAUUCAAGAAAUAUUCUGUAUCUUGGGGCGCCUGGAUGGCUCAGUUGGUUAAGCGCCAACUUCGGCUUGGGUCGUGAUCUCACGGUUCAUGGGUUCAAGCCCCACAUUGGGCUCUGUGCUGAUAGCUCAGAGCCUGGAGCCUGCUUGGGAUUCUGUGUCUCCCUCUCUCUCUGCCCCUCACCAGCUCACAUUCUGUUUCUCUCUCCUUCAAAAAUAAAUAAACAUUAAAAAAAAAAAAAAAGAAAUAU